AUAAAAGGUUCUUUAUGAAUUUGCCAGCUAAUUUCUAUAAGUUCUUAACUCUGUCUUUAUAUUUAAAAUAAAAUACUAAAUAACUUGAAAUUUAUUGAAAAAUACAUAGUAUAAAGUUAGAAUACCUCUGAUCAUAAUUUCCAUUUUCUAUUACAGACAUUCAGUUACUAGAAACACAAAAAAGUGUUAACUAUAAACCAUUUUCACAAUGACUACACUAAAUUAGCUUACAGGGCAAAAAUCUCAGGAACCAGUAAAUGAAGAUAAUUAUCCAAUGAGAAUCUUCUCUUCAGUAAAGGAUCCCUUUGGCUUACACUGUGCUGGAUUUAUUUUUCCUUAAUAUUGAGCAAACUGAAAAAAGUUUUGAUUGAUAGUCCAUACCUGGAAAAGACUAUACUUGAACUCACUGCCAGCCAAAGCUAUCAUAUCCUGUGAUUUGACCACCAUCCAAUUAUCAACACAGACAAAAAGAAACUGACAAAAUGGUGUCUUAAUAAACCAAUACAUCACUGUCA
rnacentral:lncRNA from 1 species